rnacentral:rRNA from 1 species
GAUGAACGCUGGCGGCGUGCCUAAUACAUGCAAGUCGAGCGAACAGACGAGGCGCUUGCUCCUCUGACGUUAGCGGCGGACGGGUGAGUAACACGUAGAUAACCUACCUAUAAGACUGGGAUACCUUCGGGAAACCGGAUCUAAUACCGGAUAAUAUAUUGAACCGCAUGGUUCAUUAGUGAACGAGGUUUUUGCUGUCACUUAUAGAUGGAUCCGCGCUGGAUGAGCGAGUUGGUAAGGUAACGGCUUACCAAGGCGACGAUGCGUAGCCGACCUGAGAGGGUGAUCGGCCACACGGGAACUGAGACACGGUCCAGACUCCUACGGGAGGCAGCAGUAGGGAAUCUGCCGCAAGGGGCGAAAGCCUGACGGAGCAACGCCGCGUGAGUGAUGAAGGUCUUCGGAUCGUAAAACUCUGUGAUUAGGGAAGAACAAAUGUGUAAGUAACUAUGCACGUCGUGACGGUACCUAAUCAGAGAGCCACGGCUAACUACG